CUCUCCCCCUCCCCAUUUUGGGGGUGCCCCCGUCUGUCACAACCUCCCGUGGGGAUUUUGGGGUGCACGGAGCCGCCGACGUGUUGCCUCGGGUGCGAGCGCUGGCAGGGAAGUUAACUGUGGAGCAGACGUGCGGAAUUGCUCCUGGAAAACAUCAACAGCUUUUUUUUGGGGUGGGGGGGGUCUUCAUGGUGGGGAAAGAAACCCCCAGCGCCGCUUCUUUAUUUUGGGGCAGGAGCCCGGGGGGAUGAAUUUUGCUCGCGGGGCGGUGGGGGAUGGAGAGGACGGAAGGAGAGGAGGGUGAACAAUGAGAUCUAUUCAAAGCACGGGCCACAAAGCGGACUGUGGAGCCAGGCCGAUUCCAGCCGCAUUGUUGUCCCAGCUGUCUUCCCGUGGGAGGAGGAGGAGGAGGAGGAGGCGGCAGGGAGGAAGGGCAGCGGCGGGAUUUACUUCCCAUCGCUGCCACGGGCUGUGGAGGAUGGAAAUCCCUGCUCGCUGCUUCCCCGGCCCUCGUGGGGGACAAAAAAGAGCCUGGAAUGGUAAAGACGUGCCUGUUGGAAAGGGGUGGGAUGGCGACGAGGGGAAAAUGCUGGUUAAUGAUAAACUGGAGAGGUUUUGGCUCCCCCAAACCUCCGUGUGGGAUUCCUCAGCCCUGGAGCUGAGAAAAGUGCAGGAAAUGCUGGUGGUCCCCCACUGCACGUGGGAUUGUUUUCUUCCUCCAUCAGAUCCGUGUGAGUUUGGGGUGUUCGGGCUGUGCAAUAUUCCCAUUUCUGGAGCAUCCAGUGCUAAAAGCACUGGGCUCACCCUGGGAACUCCAGAGAGGAGCCUGCACAUGAGCCCUGCCUUAUCCAAAUUUUUGUAUUUAAUGUUCUGUGCUCUUCUUGCCUGCACAGAUUAUUUUCUUUUUUUUUUUUUUUUUUUUUUUUUUUUAAUUAUUAUUUUGCACUGCUGCAGAGUGGCUGGAUACAGAGCAAAGAGUAAAAAGCAGGUUGGUGACAGAUUUCAGAUUUUUGGGGGGGGGAAAUUUCUAGUAGAGCAUCAACAU
rnacentral:lncRNA from 1 species